CCGAGUUCUACCGACUCCCAAAACCCUUCUGUGAACCUACCUCUCGUUGCUUCGGCGGAUCGCCCCGGUGACGUCCCCUCCCAGGGGCCCGUCUCGGAUCAGCGCGGCCGCCGAAGGACCUUGAAACUCUCUGUCUUGAUUUCUGUUUCCUUCUGAGUGGCACAAGCAAAAUGAAUCA
rnacentral:misc_RNA from 1 species